rnacentral:rRNA from 1 species
CCCCUAGUAACUGCGAGUGAAGCGGGAAAAGCUCAAAUUUAAAAUCUGGCGGCUUUUGGCUGUCCGAGUUGUAGUCUGGAGAAGUGCUUUCCGCGCUGGACCGUGUACAAGUCUCUUGGAACAGAGCGUCAUAGAGGGUGAGAAUCCCGUCUUUGACACGGACUACCAGUGCUUUGUGAUGCGCUCUCAAAGAGUCGAGUUGUUUGGGAAUGCAGCUCAAAAUGGGUGGUAAAUUCCAUCUAAAGCUAAAUAUUGGCGAGAGACCGAUAGCGAACAAGUACCGUGAGGGAAAGAUGAAAAGCACUUUGGAAAGAGAGUUAAACAGUACGUGAAAUUGCUGAAAGGGAAACGCUUGAAGUCAGUCGCGUUGUCCAGAACUCAGCCUUGCUUUUGCUUGGUGCACUUUCUGGUUGACGGGCCAGCAUCAAUUUUGAUUGUUGGAUAAAGGCUGGGGGAAUGUGGCACCUUCGGGUGUGUUAUAGCCCUCGGUCACAUACAACAGUUGGGAUUGAGGAUCUCAGCACGCCUUUAUGGUCGGGGUUCGCCCACGUUCGUGCUUAGGAUGCUGGCAUAAUGGCUUUAAACGACCCGUCUUGAAACACGGACCAAGGAGUCUAACAUGCCUGCGAGUGUUUGGGUGGAAAACCCGAGCGCGUAAUGAAAGUGAAAGUUGAGAUCCCUGUCAUGGGGAGCAUCGACGCCCGGACCUGACCUUCUGUGACGGCUCCGCGGUAGAGCAUGUAUGUUGGGACCCGAAAGAUGGUGAACUAUGCCUGAAUAGGGUGAAGCCAGAGGAAACUCUGGUGGAGGCUCGUAGCGAUUCUGACGUGCAAAUCGAUCGUCAAAUUUGGGUAUAGGGGCGAAAGACUAAUCGAACCAUC